AUUUUUUUUAAACGGAAAUUUCUUUAAUUUAUCAUGUACGACCAAAUUCGAACGCAGUCCGAGUCGCUUCAACCUACUAACCGGGGGAGGGGGAAGUUCAUUUAAUCGCGUUACUGCUCAACCAAUCUACUCUGUAGGGGUCGUGAAAGGUCGUGAAAGGUCGUGAAGGGUUUAAAAUAUUUUCAAUGUUUGAUCGGCCAUCUUUGUUUCGCUUGCUGGGCUCUUUCUUCCGCGACAUUACGAGGAACUAUUGACCAAAACUUCCCCUCGUUGGAGAUGAGAGAAAGGCAAAACGUUUGUUCUGUCGACUGCAUUUCAUCAACAGCGGUCUAAAGGCCGCCAUUUAGGAUAAAAUGUCUGAGGUACUGCAGAAUUUCUUAUGCUUUGCGAUGGUUUUUUUAAAAGCUUAUACACCUCUUCCAAAGAGGUAUAUAUAUAUAAUUGUCGACUUGGUUAGCGUGGUGCCUACAAGCAAGGGAUUUGUUUGUGAUUCUGGGGACUGUCACAGUAAAGAUAAGCUUAACAUAAGCUUACAUAGCGUGCAGGAAAUAUCUUUUUUAUGGAAUGAGAAAAUUGAAGAAGUAAAGAACAAAAUAAUAUUGUCUGGUGGGAAUCUCUAGUUGUCAGAUUUCUAGGCUGCCAUAUUUGUCAUGUAUCAAUUACCYAGUUUGAUACACACUACAAACAGUGCACAGCUUUAGAACAUGGUUCACAUUGUAACAAGSAAUAUCCAUGGAUGAUACACAGUACUGAAAUCAAAUUUAUCUACAUUGUGUAACACAGGGUUUUGGAGUUAUUUUUCAAUAGAAGCACAGGAAGCCCAAGCCAUAACUUUGAAUAGACUUAAUGAUUAUAUGUAGGUCUGUCUACUCAAGUCAUUGCACUUUAUUUAGUUUUUUUAAUGAAAAAUUCAAGCUAUAAUUAUUAUAUGUACAUAUGUGUGUGGAGAUUUGUAGGAUCUUUUCCUGGUCCAUCCAAAACAAAAGGAAAGAAUCUGUGAACAAAGAUGACAAAUUGGGUAAGGGGGCCUAAAAUUUUUAAAAUGAUUUAACACAGUGUAAUUAGAUAAUUGAUUGCAAUUGCCAUUCAUUUCGUGAGAAUUUGCACAAGUGUGGUAAAAUAAGCUCCACUUGUUCCCUUUCACUUACAAAAACACACUAUACAUGUACAUUACAACUUAACUGUAGCAAGUGAUAAACUUUGUAAUUUUGUUGAUCAAUCUUGUACUUUAAAAAUACUGUGAAUAAACUGAAUUGAAUUUAACAGAAAUUAA